GUGACAGCAACAGCAUACACAAAGCAGCAACAAGUUUAAUUUUUGUGCAGUAACAGGUUUAAACAUUGUGAUAGUGGUUUGCUGUUUCUGCUGUGUUGUGUUGGUGUUUAAAACAGUUGACUGUGUGGUCGAGCUUGUGAUAUGAAACAGUUUGUGAUUUAGAUAGGUAGCAGCUACACAUUGUGCAGCAGCAGCAACAGUUUAGCUUGCUGGUUUGUUCAUAGUUCCUUUACUGUCAUAAGUAACAGCAGUAAGUGCAGGUCUUUAAAGCAGAGAAGAUACAGCAGCAACUACUAGUUGUUGUGGUCUUGACAGCAGCAGAUGGUCCAGCUCCUUUGGCACUUGUAGCUGGAACCUGUAGAGUGCUGUUGAACCAUACACAGAAGUAUUUUGACCACCAUAAUGAGCCCCAGCAGCUGAAUGUCCACCUAACAAGGCUGAAUGUCGUGAAGCGAUGGACAUCUGAGAGGCAAUUUUUUUAAGUAGGUGCGGUGUGAACCUUUGCACCUGAGCCAGACUAGAACCGGAG